rnacentral:rRNA from 1 species
CAGCCGCCACGGUAAUACGAAGGGUGCAAGCGUUACUCGGAAUUACUGGGCGUAAAGCGUGCGUAGGUGGUGGUUUAAGUCCGUUGUGAAAGCCCUGGGCUCAACCUGGGAAUUGCGGUGGAUACUGGGUCACUAGAGUGUGGUAGAGGAUAGUGGAAUUUCCGGUGUAGCAGUGAAAUGCGUAGAGAUCGGAAGGAACAUCUGUGGCGAAGGCGACUAUCUGGGCCAACACUGACACUGAGGCACGAAAGCGUGGGGAGCAAACAGGAUUAGAUACCCGCGUAGUCCCUGUCUCUUAUAC